rnacentral:rRNA from 1 species
AUUGAACGCUGGCGGCAUGCCUUACACAUGCAAGUCGAACGGUAGGGGGGCAACCCCUGAGAGUGGCGAACGGGUGAGUAAUGCAUCGGAACGUGCCCAGUUGUGGGGGAUAACGUAGCGAAAGCUACGCUAAUACCGCAUACGACCUGAGGGUGAAAGGGGGGGAUCGCAAGACCUCUCGCAAUUGGAGCGGCCGAUGUCGGAUUAGCUAGUUGGUGGGGUAAAAGCCUACCAAGGCGACGAUCUGUAGCUGGUCUGAGAGGACGACCAGCCACACUGGGACUGAGACACGGCCCAGACUCCUACGGGAGGCAGCAGUGGGGAAUUUUGGACAAUGGACGCAAGUCUGAUCCAGCCAUGCCGCGUGCAGGAAGAAGGCCUUCGGGUUGUAAACUGCUUUUGUCAGGGAAGAAAUCCCUUGGGAUAAUACCUCGGGGGGAUGACGGUACCUGAAGAAUAAGCACCGGCUAACUACGUGCCAGCCGCCGCAGUAACAC